rnacentral:rRNA from 1 species
UACGUAGGGGGCAAGCGUUGUCCGGAUUUAUUGGGCGUAAAGAGCGUGUAGGCGGCCAUACAGGUCAGCUGUGAAAACUCGAGGCUCAACCUCGAGACGUCGGUUGAAACCGUAUGGCUAGAGUCCGGAAGAGGAGAGUGGAAUUCCCGGUGUAGCGGUGAAAUGCGCAGAUAUCGGGAAGAACACCCGUGGCGAAGGCGGCUCUCUGGGACGGUACUGACGCUGAGGAACGAAAGCUAGGGGAGCAAACAGG